CGUAACAAGGUCUCCGUUGGUGAACCAGCGGAGGGAUCAUUACCGAGUUUACAACUCCCAAACCCCUGUGAACAUACCUAUACGUUGCCUCGGCGGAUCAGCCCGCGCCCUGUAAAAAGGGACGGCCCGCCCGAGGACCCUAAACUCUGUUUUUAGUGGAACUUCUGAGUAAAACAAACAAAUAAAUCAAAACUUUCAACAACGGAUCUCUUGGUUCUGGCAUCGAUGAAGAACGCAGCAAAAUGCGAUAAGUAAUGUGAAUUGCAGAAUUCAGUGAAUCAUCGAAUCUUUGAACGCACAUUGCGCCCGCCAGUAUUCUGGCGGGCAUGCCUGUUCGAGCGUCAUUUCAACCCUCAAGCUCAGCUUGGUGUUGGGACUCGCGGUAACCCGCGUUCCCCAAAUCGAUUGGCGGUCACGUCGAGCUUCCAUAGCGUAGUAAUCAUACACCUCGUUACUGGUAAUCGUCGCGGCCACGCCGUAAAACCCCAACUUCUGAAUGUUGACCUCGGAUCAGGUAGGAAUACCCGCUGAACUUAAGCAUAUCAUA
rnacentral:rRNA from 1 species